UUUCAUACGGAAAACAUCAGACAACUCAACACGUAACUUUAGACGCAAUAACUAAAUUUGUUUUACAAAACUCAUAAUUAUUUUGUAACUUUUGGAUUACAUAGUAGGCUGGACUUUGACGCCUUUAGUAAAUAUUCUGUAGACAAAACAAUAUUUUUUCCUGUUUUAACUAUUCAACAGAUUAAACAGAAUGCCGCCUCGACCAAAACAGAUCUGGAGGAAAAUGGGAGAGAACGAGAAGGACAACUGGAAAUCGCAAGCUUCGCUUGCCAUAAUCAAUUAUAAGAGGAAGAUGGGCAUCUAUAAAUCAAAAUAUCGUCGUUGGCUUAAGUCCACUAUCUAAAUUCCAAGUCCCAAUUCAAUGUUCAAUAAGCCACGCAAACUAUCACCCUUGAAGACACGUUAAAUGUCUUGGAAACUACCCUAUACCCAAGUCGUUGGUGCAGACAAAUCUUGAAGCCUUGAAUAAAAUCAAAAUAAUACGCA